ensembl:lncRNA
UGGGGAGGGAGAAGAAAGAGGAGUGUAGGGAAAAGGAGCAAAAGGCAAACAACGGAAACGGAGAACGGCGGAGCAAUUGCCUGAAUUGAAAUUAAACAAGAAUAUAGUUGCUGAGAGAAAAGAAGAAGAAACCAAGAUGAUAACGCCCUACUUCCUAGAGAAUUUCUGGACAGAAAUACUCCUCAGCAUCAGCACAACCAUCCCCCACACCCCACCCCCAGAUGAUCCCGCAGGUGAAGAAGCCAGAUGUGGAGGUGCUGGGCUGGCGUAGUUACACGUGUCUGCGAUUGUGAGGCUGGCUCGGGAGAGGCAAAGGCCGAGUCAUGCGACCCCAGAAACAUGACCCGCCAAACCAUGCUCCUUAACAUCCGCCCGUUUAACCCGGAAGCCAGCUGCACCAAUUUUUCAGAGGCGAAGUCAGCCUGAAGGCGCCCGACGUACCACAAGGAGAUGCUAGAGCGCAUUGAGCCAAGUAAAGCCCCCCCCUCCCCAGUCAAACCCUCCCCUAUCCCGGACGACGCUGGGCCAAUUGUGCGCCGCCCUAUGGGGCUCCCGGUCAUGGCCAGUUGUGACACAGCCUCGGAUCGAGCCCAGGUCUGUAAUGACACCUCAUGCACUGCGAUGCAGUGCCUUAGACCAUUACUGCGCCACUUGGGAGGACCCCAUGAUCAUGCUA